GUCGCGCAGAGCGGGUCAGAGGUCUACGGCCAGAAGUAACCCCGUCGUCACAUCACCCCACCGCCGCCGCCGCUGUCAAAGACCCUGCCGGGAUCGCGCCAGGCGCCGACCUCCGGUACUGCCAUCGCCCAUCGCCGAAAUAUGCGCAGCCGUGCCCUGGAUUAGCCGCGUACGCUUCAGGAUUGCUUGCCGAUUCUUAUCCCACGUUUUUGCAUCCUGCCAGGGCCGCUCCACCAUGGCAGAGGAAGCCCCCUCCGUCAAAGAACCCCCGGUCCUGGUGUCCCACUUUACCAUCGGCACCGUGUCCGAGGAGAACUCGGAGGACGAGAUUCUGGGCAAGACGGAGGUGCCGCUGGAGGACAAGGAUCGCUCGCUGUCGCCCUGCUCCAUCAGCUCUGAUAGCCUCUACGAGCCGAGUCUGGAUCACAUAGAUGGGCCACUGCACAACAUGAGGCCCAGUAUGUCUGGCCUGCACCUGGUCAAGCGAGGUCAUGACCGGCGCCGCAUCGACCUGCAGCGUGACUUCACGGUGGCCUCGCCGGCGGAGUUCGUCACGCGAUUCGGGGGUAACAAGGUCAUAGAGAAGGUGCUCAUCGCCAACAAUGGCAUCGCCGCCGUCAAGUGCAUGCGCUCCAUCCGCCGCUGGGCCUACGAGAUGUUCCGCAACGAGAGGGCCAUCCGCUUCGUCGUCAUGGUGACCCCCGAGGACCUGAAGGCCAAUGCAGAGUAUAUCAAGAUGGCCGACCACUAUGUCCCUGUGCCGGGAGGCACCAACAAUAAUAACUAUGCCAAUGUGGAGCUCAUCCUGGACAUCGCCAAGCGCAUCCCUGUGCAGGCGGUGUGGGCAGGCUGGGGCCAUGCCUCAGAGAACCCUAAACUCCCCGAACUCCUGCAUAAGAAUGGCAUCGCCUUCAUGGGCCCUCCCAGCCAGGCCAUGUGGGCUCUGGGGGAUAAGAUUGCCUCAUCCAUUGUGGCCCAGACGGCGGGAAUCCCCACGUUGCCAUGGAGCGGAAUGGGCCUGACGGUGGAAUGGACGGAGAGCGACCAGAAGAAGGGGAUCGUCAACGUCCCCCCUGAGCUGUACGAAUUGGGCUGCAUCCAGGACGUGGAGGCGGGGCUUAAGGCUGCAGAGAAGGUCGGCUACCCGGUGAUGAUCAAGGCCUCCGAGGGAGGCGGGGGCAAGGGCAUCCGCAAGGUCAACAACGCCGAUGACUUCCCCAACCUCUUCAGACAGGUCCAGACGGAGGUUCCGGGCUCACCCAUCUUCGUGAUGCAGCUGGCCAAGCACGCGCGUCACCUAGAGGUGCAGAUCCUGGCCGACCAGUACGGCAACGCCAUCUCGCUCUUCGGCCGCGACUGCUCCGUGCAGCGGCGCCACCAGAAGAUCAUCGAGGAGGCGCCGGCCACCAUCGCCACGGUGGACGUGUUCGAGGACAUGGAGAAGUGUGCUGUGAAGCUGGCCAAGAUGGUGGGCUACGUCAGUGCCGGCACCGUGGAGUACCUGUACAGCCAGGACAGCAGCUUCUACUUCCUGGAACUGAACCCGCGCCUGCAAGUGGAGCAUCCCUGCACAGAGAUGGUGGCUGACGUCAACCUGCCCGCUGCUCAGCUGCAGAUCGCCAUGGGAAUCCCUCUCCACCGGAUCAAGGACAUCCGCAUGAUGUACGGCCUGCAGCCGUGGGGCGACACCCCCAUCGACUUCGAGGAGCUGUCCACGCACCCCUCCCCUCGUGGGCAUGUCAUCGCCGCCCGCAUCACCAGCGAGAACCCAGAUGAGGGGUUCAAGCCCAGCUCUGGCACGGUCCAGGAGCUGAACUUCCGCAGCAAUAAGAAUGUUUGGGGCUACUUCAGCGUGGCUGCAGCGGGGGGGCUGCACGAGUUCGCCGACUCCCAGUUUGGCCACUGCUUCUCCUGGGGGGAGAAUCGGGAGGAAGCCAUCUCGAACAUGGUGGUGGCCUUGAAGGAGCUCUCCAUUAGAGGGGACUUCAGGACCACAGUGGAGUAUCUCAUCAAGCUUCUGGAGACGGAGAGCUUCCAGCAUAAUAGCAUCGACACGGGCUGGCUGGACCGGCUCAUCUCCGAGAAGAUGCAGGCAGAACGUCCCGACACCAUGCUGGGCAUCGUAUGCGGGGCUCUGCACGUGGCCGACGUCAAAUUCAGGAACAGCGUCUCCAACUUCCUGCACUCUCUGGAGAGGGGUCAGGUGCUGCCGGCCCACACGCUGCUCAACACGGUGGACGUGGAGCUGAUCUACGAGGGCACCAAGUAUGUGCUGAAGGUGACGAGGCAGUCGCCCACCUCCUACGUGGUGAUAAUGAACGGCUCCAACGUGGAGGUGGACGUGCACCGGCUCAGCGACGGGGGCCUGCUGCUCUCCUAUGAUGGCAGCAGCUACACCACCUACAUGAAGGAGGAGGUAGACAGGUACCGCAUCACCAUCGGCAACAAGACCUGCGUGUUCGAGAAGGAGAACGACCCGUCGCUCCUGCGCUCGCCAUCCGCGGGGAAGCUGAUCCAGUACACUGUGGAGGACGGGGGCCACGUGUUCGCUGGCCAGUGCUACGCGGAGAUCGAGGUGAUGAAGAUGGUGAUGACGUUGACUGCCAUGGAGUCGGGCUGCAUCCACUACGUGAAGCGGGCGGGGGCUGUGCUGGAGCCAGGGUGUGUCAUCGCGAAGCUGCAGCUGGAUGACCCAAGCAGGGUGCAGCAGGCGGAACUACACACGGGCCAUCUGCCCCAGAUCCAGUCGUUGGCGCUUCAGGGAGAGAAGCUGCACCGAGUCUUUCACAGCACGCUGGACCACCUGGUCCACAUAAUGAGCGGCUUCUGCCUGCCCGAGCCCUUCUUCAGCGGCAAGCUGAAGGAGUGGGUGGAGAGGCUGAUGAAAACCCUACGAGAUCCGUCCCUCCCGCUCCUGGAGCUACAGGACAUCAUGACCAGUGUGUCUGGACGUAUCCCGCCUGCUGUGGAGAAAGCAAUUAAGAAGGAGAUGGCCCAGUAUGCCAGCAACAUUACGUCUGUGCUCUGUCAGUUCCCCAGUCAGCAGAUUGCAAACAUACUGGACAGCCAUGCUGCUACGCUGAACCGCAAGUCUGAGAGGGAGGUCUUCUUCAUGAACACUCAGAGCAUUGUUCAACUGGUGCAAAAGUACCGCAGCGGUAUCCGCGGGCACAUGAAAGCGGUUGUAAUGGAUCUGCUUCGACAGUACCUGAAGGUGGAGGUCCAGUUCCAGAGCGGACACUAUGAUAAGUGUGUGUUCACACUAAGAGAGGAGAACAAGGGAGACAUGGCUAACGUCCUCAACUACAUCUUCUCACACGCCCAAGUCACCAAGAAGAACCUUCUAGUCACCAUGCUUAUUGACCAGCUGUGCGGCAGAGAUCCCACCCUGACGGACGAGCUCAUGGCCAUCCUGACGGAGCUCACUCAGCUGAGCAAGACCACUAAUGCUAAGGUGUCACUGCGGGCACGGCAGGUGCUUAUUGCCUCUCACCUGCCAUCGUAUGAGCUGAGGCACAACCAGGUGGAGUCCAUCUUCCUCUCUGCCAUUGACAUGUAUGGCCACCAGUUCUGCAUCGAGAACCUGCAGAAACUCAUCUUGUCGGAGACAUCCAUCUUUGACGUGCUGCCCAACUUCUUCUACCACAGCAACCAAGUGGUCCGGAUGGCUGCACUGGAGGUAUAUGUACGCAGGGCGUACAUCGCCUAUGAGCUCAACAGUGUCCAGCACCGGCAGCUGAAAGACAACACCUGCAUCGUGGAGUUCCAGUUCAUGCUGCCGACUUCCCACCCUAACAGAGGGAACAUCCCCACGUUAAACAGAACGUCAUUCGGCUCCAACCUGAACCACUACGGCAUGGUGCACGUGGCGAGCGUCAGCGACGUCCUGCUGGACACCUCCUUCACGCCGCCCUGUCAGCGAAUGGGCGCUAUGGUCUCCUUCCGGUCCUUCCAGGACUUCACCAGGAACAUCAAUGAUGUGAUGAGUUGCUUCUCCGACUCGCGCCCCCCCAGUCCCACCUUCCCCGAGGGUGGAAACCCAGUGCUGUACGGAGAGGACGACAGCAAGGUUGCACGGGAAGAGCCCAUUCACAUACUCAAUGUGGCCAUCAAGACCGACGCAGACAUCGAUGAUGAUGGCUUGGCGGCCAUGUUCCGGGAGUUUACCCAGUCCAAGAAGUCCGUUCUCUUUGAACACGGGAUCCGCCGGCUCACCUUCUUAGUGGCUCAGAAGGAUUUCCGAAAGCAGGUUAACUGCGAGGUGGACCAGAGGUUCCAUAGAGAGUUCCCUAAGUUUUUUACCUUCAGAGCCAGGGACAAGAUGAACGGAGAGACGGAUGGACGAGUGCAACUAUUUCAGUUCGAGGAGGAUCGCAUUUACCGUCACCUGGAGCCGGCGUUGGCCUUCCAGCUGGAGCUGAACCGCAUGCGGAACUUCGCCCUCACCGCCAUCCCCUGUGCCAACCACAAGAUGCACCUGUACCUGGGCGCCGCCCGUGUGGAGGUGGGCGCGGAAGUCACCGAUUACCGCUUCUUUGUACGGGCAAUCAUCCGCCACUCGGACCUGGUCACCAAGGAGGCUUCGUUCGAGUACCUGCACAACGAGGCAGAGCGCCUCCUGCUGGAGGCCAUGGAUGAGCUGGAGGUGGCCUUCAACAACACCACUGUCCGCACGGACUGCAACCACAUCUUCCUCAACUUUGUGCCCACGGUAAUCAUGGAUCCCUCCAAGAUAGAGGAGUCCGUCCGCUCCAUGGUGAUGCGUUACGGCAGCCGGCUGUGGAAGCUGCGAGUGCUGCAGGCCGAGCUGAAGAUCAACAUCCGGCUGACGCCCACGGGAAGGCAGAUUCCCAUCCGCCUCUUCCUCACCAACGAGUCGGGCUACUACCUAGACAUCAGCCUUUACAAGGAGGUCACGGACUCGCGAACGGCCCAGAUCAUGUUUCAGGCCUAUGGGGACAAGCAGGGCCCCCUACAUGGCAUGCUCAUCAAUACACCCUACGUCACCAAGGACCUGCUGCAGUCCAAGCGCUUCCAGGCCCAGUCGCUGGGUACCACCUACGUCUAUGACUUCCCGGAGAUGUUCCGGCAGGCUCUGAAGAAACUGUGGCAAUCCAUGGAAACCUAUGCCCAUCUGCCCCCCUGCCCCCAGCCUUCGGACCUGCUCACCUUCCAGGAGCUGGUGCUGGACCCCCAGGGGCAGCUGGUGCAGAUGAACCGCCUACCGGGGGGGAAUGAGAUCGGCAUGGUAGCCUGGUGCAUGACCCUGCGCACCCCCGAGUACCCGGCGGGCCGCGACAUCAUCGUCAUCGUCAACGACAUCACGCACAAGAUCGGCUCGUUCGGGCCGCAGGAGGACGCCCUCUUCCAGCAGGCGUCGGCGCUGUCCCGCGAGCGCGGCGUGCCACGCAUCUACGUGGCGGCCAACAGCGGGGCCCGCAUCGGCUUGGCGGAGGAGAUCCGACACAUGUUUCAUGUGGCCUGGCAGGACCCAAGCGACCCCUACAAGGGGUUUAAGUACCUGUACCUAACUCCCCAAGACUAUAAGAAGGUGUCUGCCCUGAACUCUGUCCACUGUGAGCACGUGGAGGAUGAGGGCGAGUCCAGGUACAAGAUCACCGACAUCAUCGGGAAGGAGGAGGGGCUCGGUGUGGAGAAUCUGCGUGGAUCUGGGAUGAUCGCCGGAGAGUCCUCGCUGGCCUACGAAGAGGUCAUCACCAUGAACCUGGUCACCUGCAGGGCCAUCGGCAUCGGAGCCUACCUUGUGAGGCUGGGGCAGAGAACCAUUCAGGUGGAGAACUCCCACAUCAUCCUGACGGGGGCUGGGGCCCUCAACAAGGUACUGGGCCGAGAGGUCUACACCUCCAACAACCAGCUGGGCGGAAUCCAGAUCAUGCACAACAACGGUGUGACGCACAGCACGGUCUGCGAUGACUUCGAGGGCGUCUACACACUGCUGCAGUGGCUCUCCUACAUGCCUCGGUGCACCUCCAGCCCCGUGCCCAUCCUCAACUCCAAGGACCCCAUCGACCGACCCGUGGAAUUUGUGCCGACCAAGGCCCCGUACGACCCGCGCUGGAUGCUGGCGGGCCGACCCAGUCAGAACCCCAAGGGCCAGUGGGUGAGCGGCUUCUUCGACUACGGCUCCUUCCAGGAGAUCAUGCAGCCGUGGGCCCAGAGCGUGGUGGUGGGCCGGGCCAGACUCGGGGGGAUACCCAUUGGUGUGGUCGCCGUAGAAACCAGGACUGUGGAGCUGUCGAUCCCAGCAGAUCCUGCUAACCUGGACUCUGAGGCUAAGAUCAUCCAGCAGGCCGGCCAGGUCUGGUUCCCCGACUCGGCCUUCAAGACGGCUCAGGCCAUCAAGGACCUGAACCGCGAGGGUCUUCCGCUCAUGGUGUUUGCCAACUGGCGGGGCUUUUCCGGUGGCAUGAAAGACAUGUAUGACCAAGUGCUGAAGUUCGGAGCGUACAUCGUGGACGGGCUCCGAGAGUACCUCCAGCCGGUACUGGUCUACAUCCCGCCGCAGGCCGAGCUCCGCGGCGGCUCCUGGGUGGUCAUCGAUCCCACCAUCAACCAGCGACACAUGGAGAUGUACGCCGACAAGGACAGCCGAGGUGGCGUCCUAGAGCCUGAGGGGACUGUGGAAAUCAAGUUCCGUAGGAAGGAUCUGGUGAAGACUAUGAGGAGGGUGGACCCGAUCUACAUGGGGCUGGCCGAGAAGCUGGGAACUCCGGAGCUAAGUCCCGCAGAGCGCAAGGCGCUGGAGACCGAGCUGAAGGAGCGGGAGGAGUUCCUACUGCCUAUCUACCACCAGGUGGCGGUGCAGUUUGCAGACCUCCACGACACGCCAGGACGCAUGCAGGAGAAAGGUGUGAUCACGGAUGUGCUGGAGUGGAGAACCUCGCGGCAGUUCUUCUACUGGCGCCUACGGCGCCUCCUGCUGGAGGACAUGGUGAAGCAGAAGAUCCAGGCGUCCAACAAGGAGCUGACGGACGGGCAGGUGCAGGCCAUGCUGCGCCGCUGGUUCGUGGAGGCGGAGGGCACGGUCAAGGCUUAUCUGUGGGACAACAACGAGAUGGUCGUGGAGUGGCUGGUGCGACAGCUGGCGGAGGAGGAGGGGGCGCGCUCCAUCAUCGACGAGAACAUCAAGUACAUCCGGCGCGACCAUAUUCUCAAGCAGAUCCGCAGGUGAGCGCCCCCAGCUGGCCACGCAGCGGAAUGAACCAAACGCUGGAUACGGUAUUAACGACCAACCCGGAGGUGGCCAUGGAUUCCAUCGUCUACAUGACCCAGCACAUCUCCCCUACCCAGCGUGCGGAGGUGGUCCGGAUCCUGACCACCAUGGACACCCCGGCCUCCUCCUAGAGAUGGCCUUCGCCACCCGCACAUGCACGUGGUUUCCCGGAGACUGAGGCUGCAGGAGCCAAAAUGGCGUCCACGGAAGAACCGGAAGAGCCAGCAUGGCGCACUAGUGGAUAUACGUGUCGUUUUUUUUUUUUUUUCCCUUGGAUGCGUCUGUUAGCAGUGAUCCCGGUUUUAGUGGCUGUCCUGUUCCAGGGGCCUGACUUCCCUUUCAGCCUAGAAUACUGUGUACAUUUAAGGACAGUGUGUCAUGUCGUUAGUGUUUAUUUAUGUGCACUUAGCAGUCAAGCGUCAAGCACCUUCUCUGAGAUUUUAACGAUUGGAAUUUCUGGAAUAAACUAAAGACUAACAGUU